rnacentral:rRNA from 1 species
GCCUACGGGGGGCAGCAGUAGGGAAUCUUCCACAAUGGGCGAAAGCCUGAUGGAGCAACGCCGCGUGGGUGAAGAAGGUCUUCGGAUCGUAAAACCCUGUUGUUAGAGAAGAAAGUGCGUGAGAGUAACUGUUCACGUUUCGACGGUAUCUAACCAGAAAGCCACGGCUAACUACGUGCCAGCAGCCGCGGUAAUACGUAGGUGGCUAGCGUUAUCCGGAUUUAUUGGGCGUAAAGGGAACGCAGGCGGUCUUUUAAGUCUGAUGUGAAAGCCUUCGGCUUAACCGGAGUAGUGCAUUGGAAACU